rnacentral:rRNA from 1 species
GUGGGGAAUUUUGGACAAUGGGCGAAAGCCUGAUCCAGCAAUGCCGCGUGCAGGAUGAAGGCCCUCGGGUUGUAAACUGCUUUUGUACGGAACGAAAAGCCUGGGGCUAAUAUCCCCGGGUCAUGACGGUACCGUAAGAAUAAGCACCGGCUAACUACGUGCCAGCAGCCGCGGUAAUACGUAGGGUGCAAGCGUUAAUCGGAAUUACUGGGCGUAAAGCGUGCGCAGGCGGUUUUGUAAGACAGUGGUGAAAUCCCCGGGCUCAACCUGGGAACUGCCAUUGUGACUGCAAGGCUAGAGUGCGGCAGAGGGGGGUGGAAUUCCGCGUGUAGCAGUGAAAUGCGUAGAUAUGCGGAGGAACACCGAUGGCGAAGGCAAUCCCCUGGGCCUGCACUGACGCUCAUGCACGAAAGCGUGGGGAGCAAACAGGAUUAGAAACCCGGGUAGUCC